UUUCUAUGCCAAAAUGCAAAUCUGUAAGAACCCUAAUGUAAUGUAUUAAAAGAAAUUGUAUAUAUUUUUUUUUUCUACACAAUAAGCCGAUCCUAUUAAGAACUUGUCGAGCUAUAGGACAGAAGAAAAUUAACUAUUUGGAGCAUAAUCCGUAGAUUUUCGGACCUUAAGGUAGAAAUUGCUCAACGUCCCGCCCGCCCACGAAAGGCAAUGGGUCAUCAUUGCGCCAAAAUAAUACGUAAGAUCAAGAAAAGCCCAAAGAUCUUAUCAUCCCAAAUAGUACCAGAGGUUAAAGAAGAGACUGUUAAAGGAAUUCGCUCCAGAACCCUACAAAGGGUACUACACAAUGCUGGGUACAAUGCGAGAAUUGCAAAACGCAAACCACUCAUUUCGAGUAUUAACUAAUCGAAGAGAUUGACAUCUGCCAAAAAGUUUAACUAACUGCAACGAUGUCCUAUUAUCCGAUGCAAGCCAUAUAUUUUUCGCUCAAAAGACCGAAUUAAAGUAUGAAGAAAACCCAAUACGACGCACAAUAAAAUGAGAUAAUAUUAAAUUGCCAAUACUUUUGUCCUUGACUGUAUAAGCGGCAACCACACACAUCCAAAAGAAAUACAUACCGCAAUAAAUUA